rnacentral:lncRNA from 1 species
GCCAAACGGAACUCCUCACCCAACUGCUGCAAUAGUUCCUCCAGGGCCCGAAGCUGGUUUAAUCUAUACACCCUAUGAGUACCCCUACACAUUGGCACCAGCUACAUCAAUCCUUGAGUAUCCUAUUGAACCUAGUGGUGUAUUAGGUGCGGUGGCUACUAAAGUUCGAAGGCACGAUAUGCGUGUCCAUCCUUACCAAAGGAUUGUGACCGCAGACCGAGCCGCCACCGGCAACUAACCUAUGACCUUCUGACCUCUGAACUCUUCACCCAAUGAUGACCUGACCAUGCCUGCCUGCUGAUCAGUUAACUGGUAAUCGCCUUUGCUUGCCUGUCGUCAGUGCAGCGAGCUGAGGCACUUGUCCGUUCGUCUUACCAUCUAACCAAACAAAAGACAAAGAAAUUGUUGUCCUCCAACUCAGCUUUUUUUUUUUUUUUUUCCUGUUUGGGUGAAAGUGGUUCUAGAAACUGCACUGAAUAGUAGUAAAGCAAUAAGGCCCAAUUCAUCCCACAGCACUGAUCAUCUUUUAAUAUCCCACCCUAAGCGAACGGUAAGAAGGCCUCUCUUAAGAAGGGGAGACAGAUGGUCCUUAACUACUCAAUGACAGAGGCAGUUACUGUGAGAGACUUCUAGGAAUCUUUUUCUUCUCAUAGCGAAGUCAAAGCUCUCUCUGAAUGUACUGUGUGAUGAUGCAUCAUGCAUGAACCUUCGGUCAGGGAUAUCAUUGGUGAAGUGAUUUCAAAAAGUAUUCAAAAUUUGAUAUGCUGUUUAGUCACUACAGUGCCCUCAAAGGGCAGAAGUUGCAGCCUUUUUUAUAUUGCCUGCCAAAAUUUGAAGUAUUAGAAGAAAGUGUGCCAUGAGAGAAAAACUUAAGGAGUUUUGAAAAGUAAUGCAAAUAACAAAACUGCAACACUAUUUUUAAAAAGAUAAAUAUCUGAGUUAAAAUUACUGAAUCUUUAUUUUACACCUAAAAAAAUAUGAGAACAAGGUACAUGCAUUAUGUGUCACAUUACUGGGCAAACUGUUCAAGUAUUUUUUUUUAAACCUCCCUGUAUAGAAAAAAAUCAUUAAGGAUGUAAAAGCCAUGCUUGCCUAUUUGCUGUAUACAUGUAAUGAAAUUGUAGAUAAAGUGUAGUGCAUUGAAACAAAUGAACAAAAAGUAGAUACUUUUACUAUACAAGGGUGCUGGUGCAGAAAAAAAUAUAUAUAUUUUUGGAAAUGUAGCAUUUUAUACUUUCAAGUGUUA